rnacentral:rRNA from 1 species
UAGGGAAUCUUCGGCAAUGGACGAAAGUCUGACCGAGCAACGCCGCGUGAGUGAAGAAGGUUUUCGGAUCGUAAAACUCUGUUGUUAGAGAAGAACAAGGACGUUAGUAACUGAACGUCCCCUGACGGUAUCUAACCAGAAAGCCACGGCUAACUACGUGCCAGCAGCCGCGGUAAUACGUAGGUGGCAAGCGUUGUCCGGAUUUAUUGGGCGUAAAGCGAGCGCAGGCGGUUUCUUAAGUCUGAUGUGAAAGCCCCCGGCUCAACCGGGGAGGGUCAUUGGAAACUGGGAGACUUGAGUGCAGAAGUGGAGAGUGGAAUUCCAUGUGUAGCGGUGAAAUGCGUAGAUAUAUGGAGGAACACCAGUGGCGAAGGCGGCUCUCUGGUCUGUAACUGACGCUGAGGCUCGAAAGCGUGGGGAGCAAACAGG